AAAGACAUAUACUCCUGAGUAUAAUCCUGUGUAUUCAAAUGUAAAGAACAAAUUGAUUGGAACGUUUUAAAACCUCCAUUUUAUAGUUUUUUGUGUGUUCCUUUUAAUAGCUUGACUUCAAGCUUAGCAAAAUUUACUCAUUCUUGCAGGAACUAUUGAUUGUUUUUUAUGUGGAAGGACACUGUGGAGAAUGAAAUGAUAAGUAAGAGAUCACAUGCUGUCUCUACUGUAUAUCAUUGGAGUUGUGGGCCCAGCUGGAAGGAACAAGCACAAUUCUUAGUCCUAGAGGACAGAAAAGCGAGUCCUGUUAACCAAGUCUCAACCUAGAAUCUGAAGGAAAUUUGUAUUAUCUCAGGUUCUUCUGAUUUGGAAGUGAAAAUAAUCACACCCACCCUUUUCCUAUGAUGCAGAGUGCUGGUAGAGCAGCCUUCUACAGUUCCAGAAAAGUUCCUCAAACAGAGAGAAGUAGAGGAAAGCAGUUAGAAGUUGCCCAGACCACAGUGAAAUGGCAC
rnacentral:lncRNA from 1 species